CGUAUCUUGCGUGGUUGCAUAAGUGGGUUCCAAUCUCCGACAAAAUUGAAACUAUUCCAUAACGCGAAGGUCGAAUUUGAAUGAUGCCGUAGGCCGUAGAAUAUCGUAAUGUUAUAGUGGAAGUGGAGAGCGAAUGGGUAUUCACCAACACCGUAGUCACAGGUGCACGACAUCCUUGUUGUUCAGGGGUUGCGGAGGGAUGAAACAUCCAGCGUUGGGCUUGGGAGGGGCGGCAGACAACUCUCGUACAGAUCAAUACUCGAGACAGGGCCGCACUGUUCCACAUAAUUUUUCAUCUCCGAUUGCUAUGGAUCUGGGAUUUUCGGCGUUUAUAUUUUGGACGAUGUUUAAGGGUGGAAUUGCACUAGACGCUAACUCAUAUUUUCGGAAUGUAUAACAUUGGAAGAAAUUAUUCGAUAACUGACUUUAUUAGUAUUUUUUGUAUUGAUGACGAAUAUUGUAGUUUUGUGUUAGAAAAUGAUACAAGCUACCCGAUAGUUGAUUUGACUAUAGUUUCUGAAAAUUGAUUAGUUUUAGUACCAGAAUCUAUAUAUUAAAAAUAUCUGAAUGUUUAAAGUAGGACAAAUAUUGCGCAUAUAAUUCUCAAUUUUAUAAUAAUAAUGUUACAUAUAGCUUUUUGUUUUAAUAUCAAGUGUACCACGUUCUCUCUCAUUCUCUCUCUUUUUGCCCUCUGUCUUUGUCCUUUCUUUUUCUUUUGGUAAUAUUAGGAAAAUUAUUUGACAUCAGACCCGCGAUAUAUGGCAUGACUUUGAAGUUGAUGACAAGAUUUGAAGAAUAUUUCCUUUAAAUGUUAAAAUUAUUUAAAACAAUUUUUAGUAGCACAACUACUGAAGAAUGUCUCCCUGGAGGAUGUUCUCCCUCAGAUUGUUCUUAAUUAAUUAAAAUAUGCAAUAUCUCUUUACAAUAUUUAAUAUAAAUUUUUUAAGUGAAUAUUGGUAAAUAUUAACUGAACAUUUAAAAUAAUGUUUAUAAUGGGACGAUUUUUAAUUACAAGAUAAUGUACAAAAAAUUCAUUUAUUUCAGAUGAGAAAAGUUAUAUAUAUAGGGAAUCAUCUAGUUGUUAAUGCUUGAAACGAAAAUAAUAAAUGACUUCGUUUACCCAGUAGCAGAAUAAUCAUUUAAUAGAUAUAAUAAACGAAAUCAUAAAAUAGAAUUCAUUUUCUUUUGAAAUAUCAUAAAACGACAAAUAAAGUCUUCCUAGAUUGAUCUCGUAUUACAUUUACGUGUUUUUUUGGCUCUUAUUGUAAAUUUUCUCCUUGAAUCUCAACAAUAUAUGUAAUUAUGAAAAUCAUAAGAAGAUUCAAUAUCUUCAUGAAUAUUAUAAUCUAUUUUCUGAAGUUGUGCCAUUUUGUGAAACAAUUCACUUUCCCUAAGUGUUUUCACAAUGGUGGUCAUUUUUAACGAAAGUUCGGCCCUGGCUUACCUGCGAGACGAUGCCGACGACAAAUCCAAUGUUUCCACAGAGAAUUUCGAACUCGGCUUUAAAGCUGAAGAUUCGGUGUACCGCUGUACCGUGCCAGGCAUUCUUGAGGAAGUAAUCUUUAAUACCAAUGGGCGUUGGACUCACGUAUACAAAGAUUAUAUAUAGUCACUACCAAUAUCUACUCAAUAUAGUCAUUCAUUUAUUUCGAACCAAACUCGUAUAUAAUUUUCUGUAACUCUAUACACGUGUAUACAUGACAAACAUCCUAUGUUGGUAUGUUCUACCUUUAUUCCUCGCAAACUCGUAUAUAAUUUCCUGUAACUUCAUACAUAUAUACAAACAUCCUAUCUAACGCUAAAAAAUUCAAAUGACAUUUUCGCUUACGCAAUAACCUAUUGAAAAGGUCAACGUACUAAACUCAAAAAAAUUCAUACAAACAUCAAUGAUACGUCAAAAUAAUACACUAGUUAAAGAUAUCGUAACAUGUGUAUAUCCAGAAAGAUGUAUGUAUGUACAAAUGUACAUGUACGUAUAUAUAGAGAGCUACGAGAACUGAUUUUUAUCCGGAUCUUUCGAUUUUGUAUAGCAGCAUUCGGUCUUCCGUAUAUCUCUAUUAUAUGUAUGCUUUUAUCUAUAUAUCAGGUACGAAAUGUCGUGGAAUUUGUGUUACUCUUUCUUCUUCUUCUUAUUCUCUUCCACUGUUUUUUUUUCUUUUUCUUUUUUUUCGAGAUAUUUAUGUCGCCGUGUGAAAUUGACUAAAGUUUUGAAGUAGAAUCUCCAGUCAGUAAUGUAAUUAAAGAGAAUGCAGUUUUCAUCAGACUGGUCAGAGAAGGAGAAGGCGGUAUCGGGCGCCGCCCGUGUCUUAAAGCCGAUAUACCACUCAAGAAAUGACGGGCUUGUUUAUCGCGACGUCGCGUCGCGUCGCGUCUGUUCCGAACUUAUUUUCACUGGUGCUAACCAUAUGUGUUCUCUCACGAAAACAAAAUGACGCCAUCUGUGCCUACGUGACACCUUUUCUACGACAUCCGCGAAUUAUGUAUGUCGAGAUAGUAUGUACAUGAAAUCUUUUCGUCACGCUACAUUUCGAAUAGCGAAAUAUCAGAUGUCUGAUUAUUCUCAUCUGUUGCAAACAAUUUUGGAAUGGGAACAUUCGUUUGAUAUGAAUAAGUAUCGUCCCGUUAUAAGGAAUGUAUUUAACAAGUUGUUGAAAAUGAACAUUGCAAAAUGAAACCCGAACUAUUUCCUUGUUUUUCACGCAUUAGCCUCGUUCUGUAGUCCAUUUCUCUUCUUUUUUUCGGAAUUAACGUACUAUUAAAGUGACCGCAAAAGAUUACAUUUCUUGGAAAUUAAUCGAAAUAACAGAAAUAUUUUAUUCCAAAUACAUACUUCGAAAAUCAUUUCGAAUAUAUUGAGUUUCUUUUUAUGACGAUUAUUUAUUAUAUUAUAUUUGUAUGAUGUAAUAUUACAUAUAUUAUACAUGCAUAUAUAUACUAUAUACAACAUUAAAUUCAAGGAAUAUAUUUUAUUUACAAGAUUUAUUACUUAACUCUGACUCAUCCUCUCGUUCUUCAAAGUAAUAUUAUAUACAAUAUCACAUAUAUUAUUAUAUUAUAUUUUAAUUAUUAUUACAAAUUACCUAAUAUAUGAUAGAAAAAUACAUGUUUCAUUGCAUUCUAAAUUCGACAUAAUAGUGCUCCCCUCCCCUUUCUUAAUACCUACAAUUCUUAAUCCUAAAGUCACACAAUGUCCCACCAUAUAUGUGUGUAUGUAUGUACCCCAAAAAGUAUCUGAAUACUUGAAAGAGAGAAAGAAUUUUGUACCCUGAUCCAUAAUAGUUAUUAGGAAAAUAAUUUGAGUAUCUGGUAUGCCUUGACCGAUUCAGUUUAACCUGCAGUAAUUCCUAAUACUGCGAUUUCGAAGCAGAUGUUUCUGAUGAAUCAAUCUAUAGAAUUUAAUACCUUAUUGCCAGAUAUCUCAAGCGCAUUUAAUAUCAGGUAAACGAGUAGUACUAUACUCUUGUUGCUUUAAUGCCAUUCUAUAUAAAAAUUUCUAAUCAACGAACAUAGGCAACUCGGUAUAACGAUUGCACGAUCCUUGCAUAAUCGAGAUUAUCGCGUUCGUGUUUAUCGCAAGAUCACAUCGGCUGAAAAUUUCAAGUGCGAAACCUUGAACAACGUUUUCCUCGCGAUAUUAAUCGUCCAAGGAUUUCUUCUAUUACCUCGCACGCCAUCGACUGUUCAGUUAUUCGCGUUUUCUGUUUCUCACGAGCGGUGGGGAUAAAGCAUUUUAUCGUUCGUUGAAUGUCGGACCGUUGAUAAACAGGAAAUGUGUUUUACCAAUGAAACACGCGGUGUGAAAGGAACGAGAAUAAAAGUCUAGAAUCUUGGAACACGACGAGUUCCAUCUUUGCUCGUAAAUGGCCAGCUUUAUUCUAACGGCGGAGAUAUCGAUCGGGAAGAAAACCAACGAAUGUCGCAACUCCUCGACAAGGAUCGUACACUAGUCAAGUUAACAUGAAAGUUCACAGGACGUUCAGAUUCGAAUCUUUUUGUGAAUACGCUGAGAGAACAUCAAUUACUUGAAAGCGUCGCAUUUUUUCCCUUUGUCUAAAUGGAACACACAGAUUCUUGGAGACGCUUCUAUUCGUUAUUACUCUUCUAGAAUUUAAUAAUAAGAUUACAUUCUUUCCUUUAAUUCCUUUUUAGCUCUUUACUUAUUUAUUUUUCCUUUAUCUAUUCCUUUCAUCAAUUUUUUUUUUAUGUAACAAUAUGUACUACAUAUACUACAAUAUAUAAAAACUGUAAAAAAUAUAAUUUAUUGGAAAAAUUUGUAUUUGUAACACUUAGUUGAACGUUUAGUUAAAAUGUUAGUAAUCUUCCAUUUUAUAUUAUUACAUAAUUGCUACUAUAUUAGAACCGUACCUACGGUUUUGUGUUAAUAUUUUUAAAUAAUUGAGGACAGGGAGGAAGAGAGAGAAUUAGAGUAGCAGUCAAGAAUAUAAAUAUAGUAAACGAAAAUUGGUAAAGAAUAUAAUAUGCAAUAAUUUAACUUGCAAUUAAUUGCAAUAUAUCUCUCUACAUGGGCAACCUAUUUAGAAAAACAUUUACAUAGUCCUAAAAAAUAGUAUAUCCUCUAAAAUAUUGAUAAAUUUGACUUUUCACAAAAACAUACAAUUUACGUUUACCGAGCUAUUUACAAGACUACGUACAUAUAUACUUGAUACUAACCACAACGUGAAAGGAAGACAUAAAAGAGGUGGAACUCGAUAUUAUAAAAAUGUUAUUGUCUUAGACUUUGCUACCAUUUUUUUCAUAUCUGGUAAACAGACAAGUGAUUCGUGAUACUCGAGAUAAUUAAUCAGAAAAAAAUGCUAGAAAAAAAUAAAGCGGUCACGACAAUCAUACUAGUCUAUCGCCUUUAAAGUAAACGUUGCUUUUCAUGUGUGCAAAUACCCUAAGAGCAUGUCUCGUCCCUCUCGUAUUCACCAGUAAGCCACACGUCGACCAAACAUGCCAAUCUUCCCCUCAUCAGCCCUCACGGUAGUUUGGCAUUCUACCGAAUCACGUUUUCACUUUUUCAACCAGUCUGUACUUACUUUGUUUCCUAUUUCCUGCUUCCUUUCCCAUAUCUCAUUUAUUCAUCUCUUCGACGCUUUACAGACGUAACGAUCGUAAAUAUCGCUGAUUUCAUCCAACGAUUUUGAAAGGUUUGUUUUUGUCGAUGGCGACCCUUCUCCUGUUUUUAGAAGACGCACACGGCCAUCUUGAUUUAUUACACUGGUCACUAAGGCCGGUUUCACACAGAAGUAUGCGUAUCGCGAGCUGCGUACCGUGUGUAUGUCGCCAUGUGUUUCAAUGUUUUAUCUGUCACCUUCAUACGAAAAGUACCUAUCAUUGCCAAAAUAAACAAAACGAAUAUGUGUAUUCAGUAUCUAUCAUAUGUGUACCUCUGUGUGAACCCAGUCUAAAGGCUUCGUAACACUUAUGUUACGUCUUAUUAAAAUACAUAAUUCGCAAAGUAUUCAAACAGUUAAUGGAUGAUGAAGAAAAGUCCUUCCUACACAUCAGAAUGUCUAUGCACGAUUUAAAUGUUCUUUUAGGGAAAAUAGAAAAUUCCA